rnacentral:rRNA from 1 species
GAUGAACGCUGGCGGCGUGCCUAAUACAUGCAAGUCGAGCGAACGGACGAGAAGCUUGCUUCUCUGAUGUUAGCGGCGGACGGGUGAGUAACACGUGGAUAACCUACCUAUAAGACUGGGAUAACUUCGGGAAACCGGAGCUAAUACCGGAUAAUAUUUUGAACCGCAUGGUUCAAAAGUGAAAGACGGUCUUGCUGUCACUUAUAGAUGGGUCCGCGCUGCAUUAGCUAGUUGGUAAGGUAACGGCUUACCAAGGCAACGAUGCAUAGCCGACCUGAGAGGGUGAUCGGCCACACUGGAACUGAGACACGGUCCAGACUCCUACGGGAGGCAGCAGUAGGGAAUCUUCCGCAAUGGGCGAAAGCCUGACGGAGCAACGCCGCGUGAGUGAUGAAGGUCUUCGGAUCGUAAAACUCUGUUAUUAGGGAAGAACAUAUGUGUAAGUAACUGUGCACAUCUUGACGGUACCUAAUCAGAAAGCCACGGCUAACUACGU